rnacentral:rRNA from 1 species
UGGGGAAUAUUGCACAAUGGGCGCAAGCCUGAUGCAGCCAUGCCGCGUGUGUGAAGAAGGCCUUCGGGUUGUAAAGCACUUUCAGCGGGGAGGAAGGCGUUAAGGUUAAUAACCUUGUCGAUUGACGUUACCCGCAGAAGAAGCACCGGCUAACUCCGUGCCAGCAGCCGCGGUAAUACGGAGGGUGCAAGCGUUAAUCGGAAUUGCUGGGCGUAAAGCGCACGCAGGCGGUCUGUCAAGUCGGAUGUGAAAUCCCCGGGCUCAACCUGGGAACUGCAUUCGAAACUGGCAGGCUAGAGUCUUGUAGAGGGGGGUAGAAUUCCAGGUGUAGCGGUGAAAUGCGUAGAGAUCUGGAGGAAUACCGGUGGCGAAGGCGGCCCCCUGGACGAAGACUGACGCUCAGGUGCGAAAGCGUGGGGAGCAAACAGG